UACGUAGGUGGUUUUUAAGCGCAGGGUUUAAGGCGAUGGCUCAACUGUCGUUCGCCCUGUGAACUGGAAGACUUGAGUACAGGAGAGGAAAGCGGAAUUCCUAGUGUAGCGGUGAAAUGCAUAGAUAUUAGGAGGAACACCAGUGGCGAAGGCGGCUUUCUGGACUGUAACUGACACUGAGGUACGAAAGCGUGGGGAGCAAACA
rnacentral:rRNA from 1 species